GAUGAACGCUGGCGGCGUGCCUAAUACAUGCAAGUCGAGCGAACAGACGAGGAGCUUGCUCCUCUGAUGUUAGCGGCGGACGGGUGAGUAACACGUGGAUAACCUACCUAUAAGACUGGGAUAACUUCGGGAAACCGGAGCUAAUACCGGAUAACAUGUUGAACCGCAUGGUUCAACAGUGAAAGACGGUCUUGCUGUCACUUAUAGAUGGAUCCGCGCCGCAUUAGCUAGUUGGUAAGGUAACGGCUUACCAAGGCAACGAUGCGUAGCCGACCUGAGAGGGUGAUCGGCCACACUGGAACUGAGACACGGCCCAGACUCCUACGGGAGGCAGCAGUGGGGAAUAUUGCACAAUGGGCGCAAGCCUGAUGCAGCGACGCCGCGUGAGGGAUGGAGGCCUUCGGGUUGUAAACCUCUUUCGCCAGUGAAGCAGGCCUGUCCCUUUUGUGGGUGGGUUGACGGUAGCUGGAUAAGAAGCGCCGGCUAACUACGUG
rnacentral:rRNA from 1 species